rnacentral:rRNA from 1 species
UGGGGAAUUUUGGACAAUGGACGCAAGUCUGAUCCAGCCAUGCCGCGUGCGGGAAGAAGGCCUUCGGGUUGUAAACCGCUUUUGUCAGGGAAGAAACGAGUUUCUCUAAUACAGAGACUUAAUGACGGUACCUGAAGAAUAAGCACCGGCUAACUACGUGCCAGCAGCCGCGGUAAUACGUAGGGUGCGAGCGUUAAUCGGAAUUACUGGGCGUAAAGCGUGCGCAGGCGGUUAUGUAAGACAGAUGUGAAAUCCCCGGGCUCAACCUGGGACCUGCAUUUGUGACUGUAUAGCUAGAGUACGGUAGAGGGGGGUGGAAUUCCGCGUGUAGCAGUGAAAUGCGUAGAUAUGCGGAGGAACACCGAUGGCGAAGGCAAUCCCCUGGACCUGUACUGACGCUCAUGCACGAAAGCGUGGGGAGCAAACA